GUUUGGGUCAACUUGUCUAGGUUAAAGUUAAACCCCUAUCCUUUGAUUGUCUCUCUCCUGGCUCCACUCCGUCUCUUUACCAUCUCCGACUCUAUGUGCUCAGUAGUCUUUUGGCAUGGUUAAUUGAGCAAAGAAUGAUGAGCACGAACACGGAAUUAUCAUGGGUCGGUUAUAUUCCAUCAGAUGUGUGGCGUGGUAUAUUAGCGAGGCUACCGGUGAAAACCCUACUCAAAUUCAGGUGCGUCUGUAAAUCAUUGUGUGAAAUUAUCGAUUCCUCUGAUUUCAUUUCUGUGCAUCGUACACUAUUCUACAACAAUUUUGCGAAAAACCAUGUAUUAUAUGGGGAAUUUGAAACCCGAGGAUCCAAAAUCGUUAUUCAUUGUACUGACACAUUUUGGAAAACUGAUUACCUUUCCGAAAUUCCCCAGUCAUACUCACUUAUUGGAAGCUGUAAUGGGUUGCUUUUGUUGAAGAACCAAAAUAAAGGGAUUAUAUUGUGGAACCCUUCUAUUAGGAAGUCCUUGAUUCUCCCUUCUUGUUCUAUUAUUGGUUCUAAUCACAAUGUUUAUGUUCUGGGAUUUACCCCUUCUAAUAAUGAUUAUAAGGUGUUCGUGUUUCGGAGUGAGACAUUUGGUCAAGUGGUGUUAAUUGCAGUAUAUUCCCUCAAUAAUCACCUUUGGAGCGUUCAAACACCCAAUCCAGUGGAUGCGCGAAAUUGGGGUUUAAGUCGUAUGUCAUAUUGUCAUGGUUUAGAUUUGGAAAUGGGUAUGUUAACUGUGGAGGGGCAAUACACUGGAUUGGAAAUGAUCCACACAACUUUGACCCUCGACUUCUUUUCGAGCUAGGGACACAUCUCAUCUCUUUUGACUUUGAAGUUAAAGAAUUUAGUGUUAAGAAACUACCUGAUGUUACGAAUGACAGUGUUGUCAAGUUUGUUUUCCUCCUUAAUGAGUCAAUAGCAGUUUUAGCUAUGUCAUCUGAAAGUAGUUGCAUAUGGGUUUUGGAAAAAGAUGGUGGAGAGGAUCCAUGGAGACUGGUUUUCAGGAGCACCAAAUUUGGAGGCCUCUAAGUUGCUUAAACCUUACAGUUCUCCGCAUAUAAAUAUUCACUAUGUUCGAAACAACAAUACGUUUUUAAUCAAUGCCCCUGAAGGUUUGAUGUGUUAUGACAUUGCAAGUAAUCAGAUACAAUGUCUGGGAAAGUCUAUUUGUGGUAAUUUAUCUUUUGAUACUUAUGUGGAGAGUUUGGUAUUGCACAAAGGAUCUGAAGGGCAGACUUUGACAUCCUUCCCUUAACAAACAUGAAUAGUGGAAAUGGCUCUUUCUGAAAAAUCACAGGGCCCUGCUACGGCAAAAAUAUCAGUUAUUUAAGUCUCGUUUGAAGGGAGGGAAGCUAACAAAGUAGCUGACAUUUUGGCAAAGGAAGCUAAUGUUUGUAAUUUCAUCAGGACUUAAUUUUAUGCCUCCCCCGGUCUGUAUUAAUGAAGUAAUACUUGAUUCGCAAAACUAAUGUUUGUUUUGUUUGGAUAUUUAAAAGGGUGUAUUGUAAUAUUUGUGUAGCUAUGGUUCUUGCCUUAGAUUGCUUUGCGUAUUGCGUCACGAAUGUAAGAGAUUCAUAUAUUACCAGUUUACUGAACACAGAGGUUACUAAU